AAACCCUCAAGAGGGGAAGCUUUUUGUGGCUUCUUCUUUUGGAAUUGGAGCGUGCUGGCCUUUUUAGAAGCCCAGCUCCUCUGAAAUGCAUUAGCGAUGUGACAUCCUCGUGCCAUCACGCUUCUCCAGCAUUGAUAAGUCUCUUUCAUGCUCGAGUGUGUUGUGCUUAGGUGGAAAGUUUUGCUCGCUCACAGACCCCAUUGGGGGCUUUGCUCCCCCAUGCUUUGACCA
rnacentral:misc_RNA from 1 species